ACCCAAAAACAAGAGCUGUUAAGAGUCCCUUUGUGCCUCUUAACAGACACAAAAUGCAAUUAAAAUCUCAGUGCAACGUGAGCAGGACCUUUACGUGACAACGAGAUGCGUUUUCAACUCAGACAUUGUGAAGAAACUGUUUAAAUUCAAAGUUUGUACUGUCACCUACCUUGUCUCGAUCCUGCCGGUAGCUAGCUCGGCCUGCUAGCUACACAGCGGUGUCCGGGAUGAGGGGGUUCAGCUAGGUUUCGGUGAUAAUCAUCAUGCAGCAGUUCAUUGUGUAGUUGUUCGUUGCUAUGCUGAGUUCCAGCUCAUCCAUUUUGUGUGUGAUGGAUGGCGUCGGUGAGUAGGAGGCUUGGCAGUGGAGAUCUGUGUGGUAGUUUCCUUAGCCGGGCUAGCAAGCCCGACCGGCAUCCUCGCUUCUGCUUUCUCUCCCGUCGGAAAACAGUAGUGUGCAAAUCGGAGCGUAGUGUGUGAAAAGUGACGAUCGGAGGUGUUCACAAAGUCCUCAAAGGCUCAUUCUGAGCCAGGAAAAACCCUGCAUUGGCUUCACUCUUCAGAACUGGAAGCCCCGUCCAUUAUUUUUACAGUCUAUGCCAGCAACCGAACCUUGAGUCCAGGUUGAAUUCCAGCUUUCAGUGUUUGAAUUUGAGUCUGUGUCACGAAGUUGAUUUAUGCAAGGCCACGUUAGAGUUCUCGAGUUAACAUUGAGUGAACAAGCCAUGUCUAAAUCCCUGAGGUAAGGAUGGCAUGUCUGAAGACAUUCCCUCAUCACUGACCUCCUUUCCCGAAUUGCAGACAGGUUUCUCAUUUUAUCCGGCAGAUUGUUUCGACUAUAGCUGGUGAAGUAGCAUGUCCUUCCAAUCUGUGAAACCACGUUAGCUCAGGAAGCUAACGCCGAGAUCUUCCAUCAUGUAGCUGUCGUCUGUCAGAUACCGUUAACUUUAACAUUGUCAUUCACACAGUAAGUGGUCAAAUCUACAUUUACAACCAGUUAAUACUUCUUUUGAAUGAUAAGGUUGUUAUUAAGAUUACGUUGAGUGAUGUUACGUAGCCUUCUGUCCAAGCUAUCUACAACAUCUUAAUUAUGGGACACAAUAAAUCAUAGUUAAGUCUGUUAUUAUUUGAAACAUAACAUAAUGACAUACAUCCAGCUUUUUUUAUGUUACAUAGCAUUCUGUCCAAGCUAAAUUUGUCCAUUUAUUUUAAAGAGUUUAGCCCAAGUAUAUCACAUGCAUAUCAACCUAAACAACCUAUUAAACAUUACAACUGUCAGUUGGGAUCUUUUGUAUUCUGAGCCGUGAACUAUCCUUUCAGUCUGAAGCAAACGUUAGCUCCUGAAGCUAACAUACACAGCUUUUAGUACAGGGGUAAUGUAUUAUAUUCCAUGAUGAUUCGUAACCAUGUAGUUUGAGUAAUAUUGGGUAGCAUCUCAUCCGAGCUAAGUUGGUUUAAUCAGUUUAGCCUUUAAGUAAGUGUACCACAUCCGUGUUAAGCACUAACUUUUUGGAUUCUGGGCUGUAAACUCCCUUUUCCCUUUCAGUCUGUGGAACUAUCUACGUUAGCUCAGGAAGCUAAUGUAGAGAGCUUUUAACAUCAUGUAGGGGUCAGUUGGAUAUCGUUAGCUUUGGCAAUUUCAGGCACGACUUACUGGUAGUCUGCCAUCAAUAUGGUAAGUAAAUCUAUACCUAACAUCAAUGAAUCAACAUCAUAAUUAACCAAACUUUUUAAGUAAUAUGUAGCAGCUUGCACUGGCCAAUUUGUCCACUUUUUAAUAAAGUAAGCCCACUAAAGAAGUAAAUUUAUACCUCUGAAUAGGACAAUAUAGUAAGCCUGUCCUUUUUAGUCAGUGAAACUAAUGUUAGCUCAGAGAGCUAACGCAGAGAGCUUUUUAGCAGUGUUGGUUGCCAGUUGGAUAUGGUUAUCUUUAGCGGUUCCUAAUAUAUUAGAACUUAUAAAGUUCUGCGUUGAGUUGAGGACUCCGAUUAGACUUGAAUGUGAGUCAAGGAUUCACAACACUUGGUAGACAUCGGAAGUUCUUUGCAAGAUCGUCGUUUCCGUUCAUAACGUGUAGAUGUUUAGAAUAUAAUUCACUUUAUGAUGCUAACAAAUUUUAGAGGUAUUGCCUGGCUCAAGGACUGUUAUCCAGAUUAUGUGUUUGGUCAAUUUUUUUGCUUUUGUUUCAGUCUGAAUCGGCACAAACACUGACUGACGUGUGUCAGUCGGUGUUUGAACACUUUUGCAGUUCCAUCACCGAAACGACAGCCAUCCUUCACUCUCUCUUACUUUUGU